rnacentral:rRNA from 1 species
CCCUUAGAGUUUGAUCCUGGCUCAGGAUGAACGCUAGCGACAGGCUUAACACAUGCAAGUCGAGGGGCAGCAUGAUUUGUAGCAAUACAGAUUGAUGGCGACCGGCGCACGGGUGAGUAACGCGUAUGCAACUUACCUAUCAGAGGGGGAUAGCCCGGCGAAAGUCGGAUUAAUACCCCAUAAAACAGGGGUCCCGCAUGGGAAUAUUUGUUAAAGAUUCAUCGCUGAUAGAUAGGCAUGCGUUCCAUUAGGCAGUUGGCGGGGUAACGGCCCACCAAACCGACGAUGGAUAGGGGUUCUGAGAGGAAGGUCCCCCACAUUGGUACUGAGACACGGACCAAACUCCUACGGGAGGCAGCAGUGAGGAAUAUUGGUCAAUGGCCGAGAGGCUGAACCAGCCAAGUCGCGUGAAGGAAGAAGGAUCUAUGGUUUGUAAACUUCUUUUAUAGGGGAAUAAAGGGAGGAC